rnacentral:rRNA from 1 species
UACGUAGGGUGCAAGCGUUGUCCGGAAUUAUUGGGCGUAAAGAGCUCGUAGGCGGUCUGUCGCGUCUGCUGUGAAAACCUAGGGCUUAACUCUGGGCGUGCAGUGGGUACGGGCAGGCUAGAGUGCGGUAGGGGAGACUGGAAUUCCUGGUGUAGCGGUGAAAUGCGCAGAUAUCAGGAGGAACACCGGUGGCGAAGGCGGGUCUCUGGGCAGUAACUGACGCUGAGGAGCGAAAGCGUGGGGAGCGAACAGG